UUGCAGUUAGAAGAAAAGAAACAAGAGGAUCCAUUCUGGCCCCACCUGAAUUUCCCUUUCUCUGCCUUGAAUACGAAGUGAUACCUUUAGCUCAAAUUAUCAGACUGGAACAGGAUAAGAGGAGUGGAAAGUAAAUUACCAAGGACAAGGCUGGAAGGAAAGAAUCAGGAAGAAAAUCUGGGAAAGAAAGCAAGUGCCCUGGCUGGAGACCAAACAAAGAACAGGAAUACGACCAGAUAAAGAGGCUUUGUCAAAGCACAUUAAGGGACACUAUAGUCGCUAAACUCUCAUAAAGAAAACAAAUAGAGCAGACAUGCUACAGACUUGGACUUGCUUUCUACAUCAGACUAUCAAGUGUGUUUCAAGUUGAAAAGAUUCCAGCUGGGCCAUAAAAGCUUCCCUUGCAUCAGGUGAGUCAUCCAUGCUGCUGACGUAGGGCCCAGCACUCUUACAUGCACACACGCUUACA
rnacentral:lncRNA from 1 species